GCGCGUAGAGAGCGACCGGGUCUGGGUUCUCUUGCCAAGCUUCUCUCUUGGAUUCCUUCGUGUGAUGAUGUUUUGAUUGGAAUGCGUAGGUCAAGUCAAUCAAAGCCGCUGAGGAGUUGAAGGAUUGCAUGGCGGAGUGCCAGAAGAUGGAAAGCAAGCACGAUCGUCUGGUGAGGCGCAAAGCUACAUACGAUGUAGAGGCUGCAAGAUUGGCUACUGACAUCAAGCUUCUGGAAAUCAUGAGGCCGCAAGAUGGAAGAAGAAUGUGAGGAGAC